GCUGUUAAAAUAAUUGAAAAGAAAAUUGAAAAAAUUAAGUAAAGCAAAAUAGUUGAUUGUGUCGGAAUAGAAUAUAACAUAUACGAUACGACGUUCAAUUUUCAAGGAAGCUAUAACGACGAUUAGUGUAAUGACAAUUUCGCAUUUUGACCGCGGCACGAUUCAGCGGGCGCGAUGCGCGAGAGAUGAGAAGAGUUAGAGGGAGGGGCGAUUCUAACAAACGCUGCCGGACUUCGGAGUAGUUGUUAAUGUAGUAUAUGUGUGACAACGGGAUUGACAACAUGGAUACGUCUGACUUAGGAGGAGGUUCGUUAAAAUAUAUUUUGAAUAUUAUUGCAAAAAAAAUGUUUUUUUAUGAUACGACAAAUUUGAUCGAUAUAAAGGUAAUUAGAGUGAUGGGUUGUGCUUCAUUGAUGGUGAAAAAUAGAAUGGAAUAAUAUUAAAGAAUUGAAAUUAAAGUAUCGAACAAGGUGGAGGAGUCGUAGGAAGAGAAGGAGCAGGAGAAGGUGGAGGAAGACGAGGAGAAGGAGGAGAAAAAGAAGGAGGAGGGACAACAGGAUGGUUGCUUAAUCGGUAGGAAGUCACAUCAACUAUACAGCUGUGUAACCUGUACAAGACACCAAUACGUGCAUCAUUUUCUUCAUUACAUCGGCUGUAAGAAGUCAUAGGAGAAGAAUUACUAAGAUCUAAGAA
rnacentral:lncRNA from 1 species